rnacentral:tRNA from 1 species
GCCUUCGUGGUGUAGCGGGCUGCCUGCUUGACGCGUAACCGAGAGGUCCGUGGUUCGAUUCCCGGCGAAGGCG